GAUGAAGAACGUAGCAAAAUGCGAUAAGUAAUGUGAAUUGCAGAAUUCAGUGAAUCAUCGAAUCUUUGAACGCACAUUGCGCCCGCCAGUAUUCUGGCGGGCAUGCCUGUUCGAGCGUCAUUUCAACCCUCAAGCCCCCGGGUUUGGUGUUGGGGAUCGGGCUGUACUCCAGCCCGGCCCCGAAAUCUAGUGGCGGUCUCGCUGCAGCCUCCAUUGCGUAGUAGCUAACACCUCGCAACUGGAACGCGGCGCGGCCAAGCCGUUAAACCCCCAACUUCUGAAUGUUGACCUCGGAUCAGGUAGGAAUACCCGCUGAACUUAAGCAUAUCAAUAAGCGGGGA
rnacentral:misc_RNA from 1 species